rnacentral:rRNA from 1 species
UAAAGAUUCAUCGCUGAUAGAUAGGCAUGCGUUCCAUUAGGCAGUUGGCGGGGUAACGGCCCACCAAACCGACGAUGGAUAGGGGUUCUGGGAGGAAGGUCCCCCACAUUGGUACUGAGACACGGACCAAACUCCUACGGGAGGCAGCAGUGAGGAAUAUUGGUCAAUGGGCGUAAGCCUGAACCAGCCAAGUCGCGUGAGGGAUGAAGGUUCUAUGGAUCGUAAACCUCUUUUAUAAGGGAAUAAAGUGCGGGACGUGUCCCGUUUUGUAUGUACCUUAUGAAUAAGGAUCGGCUAACUCCGUGCCAGCAGCCGCGGUAAUACGGAGGAUCCGAGCGUUAUCCGGAUUUAUUGGGUUUAAAGGGUGCGUAGGCGGCCUUUUAAGUCAGCGGUGAAAGUCUGUGGCUCAACCAUAGAAUUGCCGUUGAAACUGGGAGGCUUGAGUAUGUUUGAGGCAGGCGGAAUGCGUGGUGUAGCGGUGAAAUGCUUAGAUAUCACGCAGAACCCCGAUUGCGAAGGCAGCCUGCCAAGCCAUGACUGACGCUGAUGCACGAAAGCGUGGGGAUCAAACAGGAUUAGAUACCCUGGUAGUCCACGCAGUAAACGAUGAUCACUAGCUGUUUGCGAUACACAGUAA